GAUGAACGCUGGCGGCGUGCCUAAUACAUGCAAGUCGAGCGAACAGACGAGGAGCUUGCUCCUCUGACGUUAGCGGCGGACGGGUGAGUAACACGUGGAUAACCUACCUAUAAGACUGGGAUAACUUCGGGAAACCGGAGCUAAUACCGGAUAAUAUAUUGAACCGCAUGGUUCAAUAGUGAAAGACGGUUUUGCUGUCACUUAUAGAUGGAUCCGCGCCGCAUUAGCUAGUUGGUAAGGUAACGGCUUACCAAGGCAACGAUGCGUAGCCGACCUGAGAGGGUGAUGGGCCACACUGGAACUGAGACACGGUCCAGACUCCGACGGGAGGCAGCAGUAGGGAAUCUUCCGAGAUGGGCGAAAGCCUGACGGAGCAACGCCGCGUGAGUGAUGAAGGUCUUCGGAUCGUAAAACUCUGUUAUUGGGGAAGAACAAAUGUGUAAGUAACUAUGCACGUCUUGACGGUACCUAAUCAGAAAGCCACGGCUAACUACGUG
rnacentral:rRNA from 1 species